rnacentral:rRNA from 1 species
UAUUAUAUUUAAUAUUAAACACUACAUAUUUGAUUAUUAAUAGAUAUAUGCUUUAAAUUCAAAGAAUUUGGCGGUAUUUUAGUCUUGUUAGAGGAACCUGUUUUAUAAUCGAUAAGCCACGUGUAUUUCACUUAUUUUAAAUAACUUGUAUACCGUCAUUAUUAGAUAACUUUCAAAAAAUUAGUUAUUAAAACUAAAAUAAAAAAUUAAAUAUAUUAGAUCAAGGUGCAGUUAAUAAAUAAGAAAAAAUGGGUUACAAUAAAAUUUAUUUAAAACGAAUUAUAUAAAUGAAAAAAUAUAUGAAGGAGGAUUUAAUUGUAAUUUUUUUUUAUAAAAUAAUAAUAUGAUAUUAGCUCUAAAAUAU